GAUGAACGCUGGCGGCGUGCCUAAUACAUGCAAGUCGAGCGAACAGACGAGGAGCUUGCUCCUCUGACGUUAGCGGCGCACGGGAGAGUCACACGUGGACAACCUACCUAUAAGACUGGGAUAACCUCGAGAAACCGGAGCUAAUACCGUAUAACAUGUUGAACCGCAUGGUUCAACAGUGAAAGACGGUCUUGCUGUCACUUAUAGAUGGAUCCGCGCCGCAUUAGCUAGUUGGUAAGGUAACGGCUUACCAAGGCAACGAUGCGUAGCCGACCUGAGAGGGUGAUCGGCCACACUGGAACUGAGACACGGUCCAGACUCCUACGAGAGGCAGCAGUAGGGAAUCUUCCGCAAUGGGCGAAAGCCUGACGGAGCAACGCCGCGUGAGUGAAGAAGGUCUUCGGAUCGUAAAACUCUGUUAUUAGGGAAGAACAAAUGUGUAAGUAACUAUGCACGUCUUGACGGUACCUAAUCAGAAAGCCACGGCUAACUACGUG
rnacentral:rRNA from 1 species